CGGGUCCCCGGGUCGGACACCAGACCCCCGCCCCUUCUCCACCCGCGUCCCGAGCCCCGCGCCCCGCUCCCCGCCCGGCCCGCGCACCCGCCCGGGGUCCCGGGAGGAGGUCCGGGUCUCACUGCGCGCCGCCCCCAGGCUCACACUCGCUGCGGUAUUUCAAAACCGCCGUGUCCCGGCCCGGCCUCGGGGAGCCCCGGUUCAUGGAAGUCGGCUACGUGGACGACACGGAGUUCGUGCGCUUCGACAGCGACGCGGAGAAUCCGAGAUACGAGCCGCGGGCCCGGUGGAUGGAGCAGCAGGGGCCGGAGUAUUGGGAGCGGGAGACGCAGGGAGCCAAGGAAAAGGAGCAGACUUUCCGAGUGAACCUGAGGACCCUGCUUGGCUACUACAACCAGAGCGAGGGCGACUCUCACACACUCCAGUUGAUGUUUGGCUGUGACGUGGGGUCGGACGGGAGCCUCCUCCGCGGGUAUGAUCAGUUCGCCUACGACGGCCGCGAUUACAUCGCCCUGAACGAAGACCUGAAAACGUGGGCGGCGGCGGACAUGGUGGCGCAGAUGACCCGAAACAAGUGGGAGCGGGCUCGUUAUGCAGAGAAACGCAGGGCCAAUCUGGAAGGAGAGUGUGUGGAGUCGCUCCGCAGAUACCUGGAACUCGGGAAGGAGACGCUGCUGAGCUCAGAUCCCCCAAAGGCACAUGUGACCCUUCACCCCAGACCUGAAGGUGAUGUCACCCUGAGGUGCUGGGCCCUGGGCUUUUACCCUGCUGACAUCACCCUGACCUGGCAGUUGAAUGGGGAGGAUCUGAGCCAGGACAUGGAACUUGUGGAGACCAGGCCUGCAGGGGAUGGAACCUUCCAGAAGUGGGCAGCUGUGGUGGUGCCUCUUGGGAAGGAGCAGAAUUACACAUGCCAUGUGGAGCAUGAGGGACUGCCUGAGCCUCUCACCCUGAGAUGGGCUUUUCUUCUCACAGGUGGAAUAUGAGGAGACUACACCCCUGCUCCAGGCAGGGACAGCUCCCAGAGCUCUGAUGUGUCCCUCCCAGAUUGUAAAGCAUGAAGACAGCUGCCUGGAGUGGACUGAGUGACAGACGAUGUGUUCAGGUCUCUCCUGUGACAUCCAGAGUCCUCAGUUCUCUUUAGACACCAGUGUCUGAUGUUCCCUGUGAUUCUAUGGCUUCAGUGUGAAGAACUGUGGAGCCCAGCCUGCCCUGCACACCAGGACCCUGUCCCUGCACUGCCUUCCUUCCCUUCCAAGGCCAACCUUAGUGGUCCAUCCUGGGGCAGGGGGGUGGGGACAUCUGCAUCCUGUCACUCCGUGCUACCCUGAGCAUUAUCUCCUCACUUCCACACUGAGAAUAAGAAUCUGAGUGUGAACUUGAUUGUUCACAUCCUUGA